AACCUGCCCAAGAGAUCGGGAUAACACCUGGAAACAGAUGCUAAUACCGGAUAACAAUAGAUGAUGCCUAUCAACUGUUUAAAAGAUGGUUCUGCUAUCACUCUUGGAUGGGCCUGCGGUGCAUUAGCUAGUUGGUAGGGUAACGGCCUACCAAGGCGAUGAUGCAUAGCCGAGUUGAGAGACUGAUCGGCCACAUUGGGACUGAGACACGGCCCAAACUCCUACGGGAGGCAGCAGAG
rnacentral:rRNA from 1 species